rnacentral:lncRNA from 1 species
UGAAAAUAAUCAGGCUUUUCCCUUUUGUCCCGCAGCUGCCUGUGCUACUCCACGUGGGCUGCAUUGGCUUGGUGUGUGCAUGCAAUGCAGUAAUGUGGACAGUCUUUGCAAAAGCCCUGCGACUGUCCUCCUCCUCAGCCUCUGCCUCUGUGACCACAACGGCCUCCAACUUCAUCUCUUCGGCCAUCCUGGGCAAGCUUCUCUUUGGGGAGACAUGGACACCACUGUGGUGGGUUGGCCUCACUGUGACGCUCUGUGGCCUUGUGCUGCUGCACACUGCUGCACCCCAGCCGACACUGCACAUGGUGGAGAAGAAGGGGUUGUGACAUCUCUCCUUUCUCCAUUUCCAGCUUGGAUAAUGCUUCAGCUAUUGCCACCUCCAGGUCCCAACCAGGUCCUCACACCAUGCACUUUCUCGGUCUCCUCAUUCUGUGCCAGAGCCUACUGAGUGCUGUCAGACCUGCCCAGCUCCCUUGCACCUUUCUCCAUCAGUCUGCAAAGUUGUGCAGGUUGCAUUUUCCAUGGUUGGCCAGGGCAGCCAUUCCGGGUGCCUGGUGGAGGUGUGGCAACAGUGACAACCUGAGGGAAAGCUGAUCAGUCUGAGUCAGUUCUCUAGAAACCAGAGCCAGAACUUAUCAGCCACCCCUCCUCUUCACACCCUGUGCUGAUGGAGCCUUGCCAGUGCCAGGACGGGAGGGAUAAAGUAAACAUAGUGGCUGUGGAAGGUGACCGUACGUUGGUACUUUUCCAUAAGAGGAACCAUCCCAAAAUGGAAAAGCAACCAGAACCAGGCACUGAAGGUUGUGGACAUUUCUGCCCUGCUGGUGGUGAUUUUCCUUGCUGCCUCUUGGAGAGGCCUCAUGCUUGCUCCAGGUUCCUAUUGUCUGGAAAGCGGUGGAGCAUUCCAUUAAUUCCUUUGGCUGCCUCUAUCACACACACCUUUUGACUUGCCAUUACGUCUGUUGCCUGUAAUUCCCAGUUUCCCAUUCCUGACGUGUUGCUCACUGUAAGGGGUUGCUUUUUCCUUUAAACUCUUAACCAGCACUGAUUUUUUAUUGCUAUUUCUGGUUAGUGUAUGUCAUACUGUAAUAUGGGGAGAACACCAUGCCAUCAGCCAGCCCUCUUCAUUAUGAGUGACCGUGAUGUACACUCAUCACUUGAGCUGACAAUUGCUUUAAGUAAAAAUGGUUUUUCUCAGGCAACAUUUUUUUUCACUUCUGGAUGGUGCUAUUUUCCAUUUGUGCAAUGUAAUUAAAUAAAUCUCUGGUUCCCUCUCGUGCUAAAUUUUGGGUAAGUGAUUACUCGUUGUUGCCAGAAUGAAAUGCUUGCCAGUAUGUUACACGUGGCAAGAAUCAUCAUUUACAAGGUGUUGGUUUCUUUCCCCUGCCUGCACGCACUUGUUUUCCAUGGUAAUUUUUGAUUGCAA